AGUCCACUUAAGCUCAGCUUAGUAUUGGGAGUCUACUCUAGCGGUGCUACCCGGGCUUGCCCCCGUAGUAUCCUGUAGUUCCUUAAAGACAGCGGCGGAGUUGUGAUUUCCUCUGAGCUUAGUAAUUUAUUCUAGCUUCUGAAGAGUCUCAGCUUCUGCCGUUAAACACCCUUCUUCUGAAU
rnacentral:misc_RNA from 1 species